rnacentral:pre_miRNA from 1 species
AAGGCCGCGGAGGGCAAGAUGGCGGCGGGCCGAGCGCCGCCUCUUCCGCCUGCCGGGUGUCGCA